UCCUCGUUUAAGCGAGGCAGUCUGUCCAGAGUGCUUCCUUCUCUCGAAGGAGUGGCAACAGGACACAAGGGUUGCGCUCGUUGCGGGACUUAACCCAACAUCUCACGACACGAGCUGAUGACAGCCAUGCAGCACCUGUCUCCGGUCCAGCCGAACUGAAGGGCUCCAUCUCUGGUGCCCGCGACCGGGAUGUCAAACGCUGGUAAGGUUCUGCGCGUUGCUUCGAAUUAAACCACAUGCUCCACCGCUUGUGCAGGCCCCGUCAAUUUCUUUGAGUUUUAGUCUUGCGACCGUACUUCCCAGGCGGGGUGCUUAAUGCGUUAGCUACGGCACCACAGGGGUCAAAGCCCGUGACACCUAGCACCCAUCGUUUACAGCGUGGACUAC
rnacentral:misc_RNA from 1 species